rnacentral:rRNA from 1 species
AUUGAACGCUGGCGGCAGGCUUAACACAUGCAAGUCGAGCGAGCGGCGGACGGGUGCGUAAUGUCUGGGCAACUGCCUGAUGGAGGGGGAUAACUACUGGAAACGGUAGCUAAUACCGCAUACCAUCAGAUGUGCCCAGAUGGGAUUCGCUAGUAGGUGGGGUAAUGGCUCACCUAGACGACGAUCCCUAGCUGGUCUGAGAGGAUGACCAGCCACACGGGAACUGAGACACGGUCCAGACCACUACGGGAGGCAGCAGAGGGGAGUAGUGCACAAUGGGCGCAAGCCUGAUGCAGCCAUGCCGCGUGGGUGAAGAAGGCCUUCGGGUUGUAAAGCACUUUCAGCGAGGAGGCGUUACUCGCAGAAGAAGCACCGGCUAACUCCGUGCCAGCAGCCGCGGUAAUUC